rnacentral:lncRNA from 1 species
CUCAAACGGGGAAGAAGUUUUGUUUCUCCCCAAAAGGCGGAGAAAAAAUAAUAAUAUCGCAAAAUAAGAAACGCGUUGGGACUCUAUAUUAAAAAAAUCUCUCACUAUAAUUAGUUUAAGAAAAGGCAAUUGAGAGGACACUCCAAGAGGGGGCUUUUAUUACCAGGCACCUAAACUUUCAAACGCAGCUGAAAGCCAUGUUGCAUCAGGCAGGACGCUGCUGAGACCGGUCGGCGGUGCCAGUUUAUCCUCUUAAUAAGUAUUUUUAAAAGAGGAGGGGUAACAGGUGUUUGUUUGUUUUUUAAAUAUUGCAACAAGAGCUUUCCACUUCCAAACUCAGGCAGCUGUGAAAUUUGCCAGCAGUUGUUAAUAAUGGCAAUGUUAAUUGUUCAGAGCAUCAUAUUCAUGAUUCAUAGCUGAAAUUUCACGGCGGCUUUUGAAAAACCAACAUGGUUUCUCCAAAAACUCGGUAUCUGCUGUUCUUUCAAUACUUUGGGACCAAGUAUUGUGGCGUGAAGGAGGUUCGUCCUGACCAGGCGGUGCUUGGAGUGCAGAAUCACUUAGAGGUAAAUACCACAGCUAAGGUUUUCAAAUUGGGUUGGGAUGGGCUAUAGAGAGAGGUGUGACAUUUUUGCUCUCCUGGUUGGGGGGUUCCGAGGAGCCAAAGGGCUGGAAGAGAUGCCUGGAAUUUUAUGGAAAUCCUAAGACCAAUGAAAGCUAUUCUCUGAAGGGCAGUGGGUUGUUCAGUGGACCAAUGACAAGAGGUGCUUCGACUCCGAUGUAAGUGUUCUAGGCAGCCAGUCAGAAUGUUUUCAGAUGCUGCUUCCACCUCCUUAGUGAUGUUGAACUGGGAUUGCACAAGAGCAAGCCAGGUCUGACCAGUUAUGUUACUGCAAAAGAUGAAGGGAUUGAACUGAAGACAAUCUGUGUUUGGAAAUUAUAUUUGCCUAUUUAAGAUUUCCCGUAAGGCUGCCAAAUUGCAGAAACUGUAGGUGUCUGUGUAGAUCGACAUCUGAAUGUAGGGAUUUGUCAUAAUCAUGAGUUCUCUCUCUCUCUCUCUGUGACCAAGUUUUUUUAUUGAGGUGGUUAACCCGUGUCUGUCUCGGCUAUCUUAGAAUGGAUCUGACAGUACAACAGUUUGUUGCAUGUAGAAAGCACAAAUAUUGGGGUGAAGGCUAGACUGGGACCCCUUCUGCCAACACCCAGUUUUUGUAGGCGCAGACAAUUUUUUGUUGCACUCGUGAGCAAUCCUCCAUGCAGCGCAGCAAAAAUUCCCUUCACUUACAAAACCAGUGUCAGGAUUCCCGUCUGGCCUUCCUCCUGAUAGGCUGCCUUUCUAUGGGUGGGGGAGUCUGUCAGCCACCU